CCUACGGGCGGCAGCAGUGGGGGAUAUUGCACAAUGGGGGAAACCCUGAUGCAGCGACGCCGCGUGUGGGAAGACGGUCCUCUGGAUUGUAAACCACUGUCCCCAGGGACGAAAAUGACGGUACCUGGGGAGGAAGCUCCGGCUAACUACGUGCCAGCAGCCGCGGUAAUACGCAGGGAGCGAGCGUUGUCCGGAUUUACUGGGUGUAAAGGGAGCGUAGGCGGGGAAGCAAGUGCGGGGUAAAAAUUACGUGCUCAACUGGUAGGUGCACUCAAAACUGCAGUUGUUGAGUGAGCGAGAGGCAUGCGGAAUGCGUGGUGUAGCGGUGAAAUGCGUAGAUAUUACGAAGAACACCAGUGGCGAAGGCAGCCUGCUGGGCUUUUACUGACGCUGAGGCUCGAAAGUGUGGGGAGCAAACAGGAUUAGAUACCCUGGUAGUC
rnacentral:rRNA from 1 species